rnacentral:rRNA from 1 species
AACGAACGCUGGCGGCAGGCCUAACACAUGCAAGUCGAGCGAAGCCUUCGGGCUUAGCGGCGGACGGGUGAGUAACGCGUGGGAACGUGCCCUUUGGUACGGAAUAGCCCCGGGAAACUGGGAGUAAUACCGUAUGUGGUCGAGAGACGAAAGAUUUAUCGCCAAAGGAUCGGCCCGCGUUGGAUUAGGUAGUUGGUGGGGUAAUGGCCUACCAAGCCGACGAUCCAUAGCUGGUUUGAGAGGAUGAUCAGCCACACUGGGACUGAGACACGGCCCAGACUCCUACGGGAGGCAGCAGUGGGGAAUCUUAGACAAUGGGGGAAACCCUGAUCUAGCCAUGCCGCGUGAUCGAUGAAGGCCUUAGGGUUGUAAAGAUCUUUCAGUGGGGAAGAUAAUGACUGUACCCACAGAAGAAGCCCCGGCUAACUCCGUGCCAGCAGCCGCGGUAAUACGGAGGGGGCUAGCGUUGUUCGGAAUUACUGGGCGUAAAGCGCACGUAGGCGGAACAGAAAGUCAGAGGUGAAAUCCCAGGGCUCAACCUUGGAACUGCCUUUGAAACUCCUGUUCUUGAGGUCGAGAGAGGUGAGUGGAAUUCCGAGUGUAGAGGUGAAAUUCGUAGAUAUUCGGAGGAACAC